UUCAUUACCCAACCCUUGAGUUGUUUUGUUUUUCAUUUGCCCAAUCACCAGAGCUUUCGCAAUGUUUCAAUUCAUUAUUUACUGUCAAAGGCUUUGGAAUCCAGGGUAGUGCUAUCGUAACAAAAGAGGAACAUUUGUUUGCUUUUUGAAAUGAAAUAGAACAUAUAAUUAUAUCAUUUUAAUGACUUGCUUCCGAUUUUCAGAGAGGUCUUGGAAACAUUAUUAAUUGUUGAUACUUUUGAAAUAUUCAGCAACUUGCCGAUGAAAUUUUUAUAAAAUAUUGCCAUAAAAUAUAUAACAUUCUAAGACUAAGGCUAUAUAUAUAUUGAUACUAUUGAUACUAUAGUGCUGUUCCAACGUACAAUAAUGUGAAAAAAAGAAAAGAAAAAAAGAGAUGAAAAAGUUUUUUCAUCAAGUGAGAAAAAUUUCCGGAGAAACUUUCCAAAAUUGUUGUCACUCCAAUAUUGUUUAGGUCCAUUUUUUUAAGUAUUUUAUAAAGCGUAUGCUAUGUAUGUGCUAAGAAGCUAGUUUUGUUGGCAUGUGGAAAGCAAAAGUAGCGAAGGUAAAGAGAUUAAAAUUGGAUUUAGUGCGUAUUUUUGAAAAAAUUUUUACCACAAAAUAUGGUAGUCCCCCCCCCCCGUCGAUGACACUUGUGACGUCAGGUACAUACGGGACUUUGGAGGCGGGUUUUGGCGGGAAAAUCUGUAAUGUUUGGAGAAGACAAGAUGGCGCUGGUUACCUCGUGUUAUAUCAAACGGCAUUUUUGUUCACAAAUACCCGCUUAUUUUACGUUAUAGCGACUGGUUCGUUUUGGAAAUUAUAACUCAAUGGACGGGGAAAAUAUUCUGUAUUAAAGAGAAAAAGAUGUGCGGUUAUUGUGAUGUUAUUUGUUGUGAAAGACGGCCCGAAAUUUCGCUACUUCGCUGUACUGGUUUAUAAAACAUUUACAAGCAACAGCAAUUGAACUAUAUGACAAAGAAACCAAUGUAUACAAGCCAAUCAAGUUCUUCAGUUUAAAGGUCUGUUUACUUUUUAAUAAUUAGUUCAUUUAGUUGUACAUUAAUACGAAGUACUGGAACAGUACGUACGCCUAGUCACAGAAUAGGAAGGUAUACCCAUUGAACUAAAAAUAACUGGAACGAUACCUCCAGCCGGAAAUGUGAAGCCAGGCACAGAAUAGGAAGUUAUACCAGAAGCGUAACUCGAGCAAAUAUUUGUCCGCGUUUUUACAAGCGAUUCGUCAUCAAUCACGCCAUCCUGGCUAGUACAACCGGCACUUUGUACCUGCCAAAUCCUGAUAAAAACUUCCGGCUGUACUAGCCAGGAUGGCGUGGCCUGACGUGAGCGAGUUAAAAUUUUUGUGGACGUCAAACAAUAAGGGAAACGACUAGAGUUACGCUUCUGGUAUAACUUCCUAUUCUGUGGCCCAGGCAUGCCCACUGUUGUCAUGCCCAGUCUUUUCACGUAACGGAAAUGAACGCGGGUUUUUUAAAUUUCCAAAACUGGGUAAAAAAAUGCACUAAAACAUGAUUUAAAACGACGUAAAAUGCACCUACCAGUACAUUUUUUACAAUAAAAACAUCCUUCAAAACUCUAGAGUAAAAUAUUUUUAAUUUAUUUGUGUAGAAUUCAUAAUUAAAUUUCCUUUUUUGAAAAAAAACGUUGAGCGAGGAGUGGAGCUUGCCGUACCCUGGAUUCCAGAGCCUUCGACAGUAAAUAAUAAAUUGAAAUGUCGCGAAGGCUCUGGUUCAACGGGGCGAUUGUACUAAAACCACUAAUUCUGUUUUGUGAUUGGCGCGGUUCAAUCAAAGAAUCGCCCCGUUGAACCAGAGCCUUCGCGACAUUUCAAUUUAUUAUUUACUGUCGAAGGCUCUGGAAUCCAGGGUAAGCUUGCUGUGGUCUAAUCAUAAGUAUUUGUGUGAAUUUCCCUAUUUUGCUCAUUCGUUUUCCAAUUUAUUCGUCUGAAAGUUAGGAAAAAAGGUAUUCUAACAAGAUCAAACUACCAACCACAGUUUAAUUAUGUUUUGUAGUAGAGUAUUUAUUAAGUUUUAAAGGUACAAAAUAACAAGUGUAAACAUUAAAGACAUUAAGAAAGUUUUUUUCGUGGACAAGUAUUUCAUGUCACAAUUAUUCACAUUCGGCAAGAAAUACCCAGAACAAGUCGUCAACGAAGGCAAACAAAGUGAUAGAUACAGAUUAAAUAAACUUAUCUUGUUUAACAAUCAAUGAAGUUGUUAUAAAUAUAUGUUUAAUACGUUAAGAUAAAGAAUUACUUAUCUUUCUCAAGUUUCAUCUGCAUAUAAACGUUCCAGUCAUUCAAAUAUGCACUUGUUGUCUCCAAUCAGUUACUUUCUUCCUUGCAAUUUUAGUCGGUAGGGUUCAAGAUAUGUUUUAAAUACACUUUUAAUACAAAAAUAUAGCUUAAAACCCUAAAUAAACGACAAUUUUCGAUCCAUUCGUCCGAGAAAAAGUCACUUUGCCGUAAUGGUCUCGCAACACAAACGCGCGUGUCUGGAGGUAGAACACGCGCGGCUGGAGGUAAAAUUUGGCUUCAUCCGAUCAUAAGCCAAUUCUAUUGGAGGUAACGUUCCAGGUAUUUUUAGUUCACUGGGUAUACCAGAAGCGUAACUCAAGCAAGUAUUUGUCCGCGUUUUUACAAGCGAUUCGUCAUCAAUCACUCCAUCCUGGCUAGUAUAACCGGCACUUUGUACCUACCAAAACCAGUGAACUCUCUCUAUAUAUAUAUAUCUGGAAUGAUAACAGCGAGCGAAAAGUGAAGCCGACAAAAAAAAUCACGACAUAAGUAUUCGUCAUUGUCUUUGUCAUCAACUGUUCAAGAACAAUCACUUACAUAUAAAAUUUGUAAUUGUUUUGAAAGUUUUUAUCACAGUUUUUAUAUCUUUAUUCACUUUUAACCUGAAGAUGGAGUUAUACUCCGAAACGUAGUUAUUAAAAUAAUUUUUUACUAAGCCCAUAUGGUCUAAUUUAUAUUCAAACACACGUACAUAUUCAUUUACAUUUUGCUGGCAGGCAAACUCCGAUCACACAAUAAAUUCUUUAAAAAAUAACUAUAAAACUGGUAAACUAAAAAACAAUUCAAACAAUCGCGAAAAAUGGCAAAGUCACAGUUGCAAGUCAAUUUAGCUACCUGUGAAAUGAAAUUUUCCUCGCAAGAAUAUCUCUUUCCUUGUGCAUCCAGAACGACACAACAUAUUUGAAAAAGCCUAUUCUUUUCUCCACACGGGGAAGUUUUCCUCGACUUUUUUCCGACAGCGAACUCAAUGCAGUAAAUUUUAGGAGCAAAACAGUUUGCUCCUAAAAUGUAUUGCAUUGAAUUGGCCAUGUUUUUAAUUUUUUUCGUGAUUGCGUUCAAAUUUAUACUGGCCGUGCAACGGUUUGCAAGAGGGGGAAUGAAACUGAUGUCCAAUCCGCGUAAACCUGACGUUUGAGGGACUGAGACUGACGUCCAAUCCGUGUGAAAGACUGGUAUCGAGGCUUCAUUGUUUUCACAAUCAAAUGACUGAAUGUUAUCAUUCACUGACCAAAACCUGAUAAAAACUUCCGGCUGUACUAGCCAGGAUGGCGUGGAUUGGCGUGAGCGAGUUAAAAUUUUCGUGGACGUAAAACAAUAAGGGAAACGACUAGAGUUACGCUUCUGCUCUAUCUUCUUUAUUCUGUGGCCUAGUUUGGUUUUGCUAUUUGUACUGACUACUGUAGUCAGAAUAUUUAAGAUAAGGUAUGGAUAAACAGACCCCAACCCCUUCCCUAACCAAUAAAUGUGUAAUGAACUAUUUGAGAGUUAGAAAGGUCGGGGGGGGGGAAAUUUACAAAUAUUUUAAGAAACAUUUCUACGGGGCUGUUUAUAUGGAAGCAUGCCUUAGCAGGGCUGGCCCGCUAAACGAGAUAGCCCGGUAAGCAGGAUGAAUUUUGCUUGCGUUUAUGAGAUUUUAUCCUGCUUGCUGUGCUAGAAAUUGUUUACAUUGCACUCAAUAGGCAAUUCCAGCUUUUAGUUUAUGCCUGCAGGGGAUGAUGGGAAGUAAGGUAUCAUAGUGCUGAUUAUGCUGAAAAAUUUCAAUAAAAACAACCGAAAUAUUUCAAUAUUUACAAGUAUAAGCUAUCACUACGUGUUUACACAGCCACCAUUUUUAUUUUUUCAGCAUAAUCAGCAAUGUGAUACCUUAUUUCCCAUCGUCCCCUGCACGCAUAAACUAAAAGCUGGAAUUGCCUAUUGGCUUUCCCAAUUUCAAAAUUAAUUUUUGCUUCAAAACUUGCUAUUUUGUAAACAUUACAGCUAUUGAAGCACAGCUUAGAGACAGGAAGUUUUACCUCGCAGUUUGAUCGUUGAAACGCACAAGUUACCAAGGGCAAAUUCAUGGGAAAUUUAGGCACUUUCGGUCAAUGGGUUGUUCCAGAAAAGAUCCAUACCCCCAUGCUGUCCGAAGGGGGAGUGAGGAAAAAUGUCUUAGGAUGUCCGAAGGGGGGGGGGGGAGGAAAUGCGGAUAUAAGAUUGUCCGAAGGUUUUAGACAGUGAUAAAGCUAUGUGAUCGGCGAUUAUAAUGAGCACGCAAUUUUUAUCGGCUAUAGCCCUUAAAAACUGGAACGUUUACGUAACAGCAAUAAUUAUACGUCCACGUAACUCGUAAGCAAAAUAGCUGCCCACUUUUGCAUGCAUGGCCACCAAAAACUAACUUGCUGUAACAGUGUAUCCUGCAUGUUGAGAAUGAGUCGAAAAUUUACACACUUUAUUUAUAUAAAAGUAAAGUUUUGCAGUUUUAGUAUGUAUAAGUUUGAAUUAUUCAAGUGUUAAAAAUAAUAGUUAUUAAACUGUUGCUUGAAUUAAGAGACUGCUAUGUGAACUAAACUCAAUAUUUAGAAUAUUUAGUUUCAGUAUAUAGUCAAUAAAGCUUCCUUGCGAGGUGUGUGCCUAGAAAAUAGAAAUGGCUGUCAUAUUAAGGGCGAGGUUAAGGAAUGCAGUAAUACUAAAAAAUUUAAUGUGCCAUUAACAUGUAAGUAAACACAGCAACGCUUCUCAAUCAGUCGCAAGUUACAUUGAAUUUCAGUCCGAAUUUUACUUGAUCGAAUUUCGAAUUCUGCAAAUUAUCCACCAAAAUCUGCCAUGUGUUUGUGUUCACAAGAAGCUGCCAAGUGUUCCACCACCACGCCGGAGCUAUUUGACAACAAUGUAGAAAAGUCACAGCCAUCGCUUUCACACUACGCUGGAGCGAAAUAGUUUGAAAACUUUCACAACGCCUUUGCCAAAUACGCUACCAGCCUGAAUUGCUGAAAGCUGUUGCAAAAAAACUGUUUUAUAUUACUACUUUACAAAAUGUAAUAAUUGGAUGCUAUACUUCAGUUCUUGUAUGAUAGUGCUUAUAAAUAAUUAUUAAUAUCGAACUAAUAAUCAUUAGUUCGAUAUUAAUAAUUAUUUAUAAGCACUGUCAUACAAGAAAUGUCAAGAAUGAAUUUUCCUUCAAUGGUGGUUUUUUAUCCGUCAAAAGUUUAAUAUAGUUUUGACGAGAGAAAUGUUUCUCAACAAUUUUCAGAAAGUUUUACAAGAUUUUGGGGCUUGUUUUGAAUUGGGCUAUUCCAUUUAAAAGACGUAACCCCCCCCUAUCAAGGACAAUGGUUUUACCAUAUCUCUGAAGAAUUCUUGACAUAAAAGAGAUCCCCUGAAGAAUUCCUGUUACCCCUGAAGAAUUACAAUUUUUACAUCUGACCCCUAAAGGAAUUGCAUUUGAAAUAACCAACCCCUGAAGAAUUCCACAGGAGAAUUUGUUUACCCAUGAGGAAUUCCGGAGUUAAAAAGGGAGAUUAUGGAUAUUAAAUGGAAUAUAGCCAAUAUUUUUCUGGAAAAUUUAGCCCAAUUUUCUGGAAAAUUUCCUGGUUGUUUUCCCUGCAGCUUGUUUAUAAACAUGCUUGUUUAUCUAUAGCAUCAUUUGUAGAAAAGGUGUUGAAACUUGAAAGCAUUUUUUGAAAGCAAUGACGUAUUAUCAAAUGACAAAUGAUCAUGCGAGCGACACUUGCUAGGAAGAUGGCGACUGUGGGACAACUAUAUAAUAGUUUUGUUUGUGGAAACACCACAUAAAUUUAUUACUGCAAAGCUUUCGAUCCGUAAGCCCGGAUCUUCAUUUAAUUCACACGCCCUUUUUAUAUACAAAAAAUGUCUUGAUCUGUUGGCUCACAUAUUAUUAGCACUGAUGAAGAUCCAGGCUUACAGAUCGAAAGCUUGGUAGUAAUAAAUUUACGUGGUGUUUCCACAAACAAAACUAUUAUAUGUUUUAUCGCCAUGCAAACAUACAAAGAACUUAUUGUGGGACAACUUUUUUACUGAAGUUAUACAUCUGUCUUCACUUAAUCUGUGGCUCAGCUGGCUAGACCUUGAUUCUUGCCUGUGGUCCCCCUUUGCAUUUGACCCAAAUGUUUUGGUCAUUUUAUAUUUGCCAAUUAAUAUAAAUCUUUAUGGCAUAGAAAUUAUACAUUUGGAAUAAUAAUUUUGUAUGCUGCAUUCAAUCUAUUCUCCAUUCAGGGAGAUUCUUUUGUAAAUACCCACACCAAUCAGAAGUCUGUAUUUUUAUGCUAAGACAGAAAUUGGCAUCCCAGAGAGUAAAUUAUAUUCAAGUUUAGGGCAUGUUGCAGCUCUAUAUCUUGCCGUUGCAAGUUGCUUUGCGUUUGAUGUUUGUUCUGGGAUAAAAUAUUGAAUUAUACCUUAAAUUAAUGUUUUGUGAAAUUUAGUUUAAAUAAUUUAGUAGAGACAUGAGUGCAUAAAGCAUAGGGAUUUUGAAGCUAAAUAUGUUAUAAAAUUUGUCAUUUUAGUGAAUGCAUUCUUUUCUGCUCGUCCUGGUUGUUGCAAGGAGACAUCUGGCAUUGUAAUGGAUGGAUGACGAUGUGUCGCUGGCAAACCUACACCGUGUCCAUUUUCUUGGUGGAUAUCUUGGGCAAAUGUGCAAUAUGACGAGGGAUAUCUUGGGCAAAUAUCUUAUAUAAAUUGGUACGAUUGCUUACCUUAAAUUACUAAAGAAGGAUGAUGAUGUAAGGUUAGUGGAUAUUUAUAAUAGUGAUAAAAUGGGGGUUCCCUAUGAAUAGGAACAAAGUAAGGCUGCCUAAUUAAGUGGAAACAAUACUGCGCAGUGUAACAAUCUAAAAA
rnacentral:lncRNA from 1 species